rnacentral:rRNA from 1 species
GGGCCCGCACAAGCGGCGGAGCAUGUGGAUUAAUUCGAUGCAACGCGAAGAACCUUACCUGGGUUUGACAUGCACCAGACGCACUCAGAGAUGGGUGUUCCCUUGUGGUUGGUGUGCAGGUGGUGCAUGGCUGUCGUCAGCUCGUGUCGUGAGAUGUUGGGUUAAGUCCCGCAACGAGCGCAACCCUUGUUCCAUGUUGCCAGCGGGUGAUGCCGGGGACUCAUGGGAGACUGCCGGGGUCAACUCGGAGGAAGGUGGGGAUGACGUCAAGUCAUCAUGCCCCUUAUGUCCAGGGCUUCACACAUGCUACAAUGGCCAGUACAGAGGGCUGCGAGACCGUGAGGUGGAGCGAAUCCCUUAAAGCUGGUCUCAGUUCGGAUCGGGGUCUGCAACUCGACCCCGUGAAGUUGGAGUCGCUAGUAAUCGCAGA